GAUGAACGCUAGCUACAGGCUUAACACAUGCAAGUCGAGGGGAACGAUAGAGAAAGCUUGCUUUUUCUAGGCGUCGACCGGCGCACGGGUGAGUAACGCGUAUCCAACCUGCCCAUCACUUGGGGAUAACCUUGCGAAAGUAAGACUAAUACCCAAUGACGUCUCUAGAAGACAUCUGAAGGAGAUUUAAAGAUUUAUCGGUGAUGGAUGGGGAUGCGUCUGAUUAGCUUGUUGGCGGGGUAACGGCCCACCAAGGCGACGAUCAGUAGGGGUUCUGAGAGGAAGGUCCCCCACAUUGGAACUGAGACACGGUCCAAACUCCUACGGGAGGCAGCAGUGAGGAAUAUUGGUCAAUGGGCGAGGGCCUGAACCAGCCAAGUAGCGUGCAGGAUGACGGCCCUAUGGGUUGUAAACUGCUUUUAUAAGGGAAUAAAGUGGGAGUCGUGACUCUUUUUGCAUGUACCUUAUGAAUAAGGACCGGCUAAUUCCGUG
rnacentral:rRNA from 1 species